rnacentral:tRNA from 1 species
AGAAACUUAGGUUACAAAAACCAAGAGCCUUCAAAGCCCUAAAUAAGAGACCUAACCCUCUUAGUUUCUG